rnacentral:lncRNA from 1 species
AUGUUGAAUUCUGACUUUGUAUUACUUUUCAUUCUCUCCUCUAGGAAUUACUUACAAAAUACUGAUAUUAAUAGUAAUGUAAUAUAUAUUCAUGAUUCAAAGAUUGAAAAAUGCAUUUCUGGAUACUCUGAAAAAAAAAAUGCAAUCUUCCUAGGCCUUCUAAAAAUUGUGCUGGCACCUGAGAGAGCACCUGGGACCGGAAGGUGGAUCUUUCCGUGAGCUCUGCCACAGGCUUGUAUUGUUACCUCUCCCUGACCAUUGUGAAACAGUGCACAUCAAACGAAUGAUUUUGUGACUUUCCCCAUCAAAGUGUUUGGUAGCAUAUGGGGAGGGGAAGGAUAGAAAGUAGGAGAAAACACCAAUACCAGUGUGGUGAGAUCGACUCAGCUUUGCUGUGAAUAAGGGCUCAAUUCCUAUUAAGGACUUAUUGGCUGUAGGGCCUUGGGAAAGCUACUUAAUAUUCCUGAAUUUCAGUUCUCUUAUUAGUUAAAUUUGAGGCAAAAGCUCAUACUUUGCUGGGUUCAAGUGAGAUUGAAAUGAGAUAAUGUAUAUAAAUUUGCCUGAUACAGAGCAAGUUAUAUGUAGAAAUUUCGUUUCUUCGCAACCUUGCUGAAGACACCCAUCCUUUCCUGCCCUUCCCCGCAUCCCUCUUGUUGUUAGAUUAACUUAAAUUUAACGGACAUAUUUAGUACCGAUGACACACAAACAGACAUGUACUAAUGUCUCCCAGUUCUCCGACAACUGCUGAAGAACUUCACCUGGAUUUCAUGUAGGGACUUCACUGUGAAGUUAGUAAUGAUAGAGUCACAACUGAGUGAGACCCUGGUAGCAUCUCACAUGUGAUGUUGAACAAACUGAUCCUGUAAGGAAGGAAUUCAGAGCCUCACUUUACAGAUGGAAUCAUGGCUCAGGGAGGUACACAGGAGCACCAAGGCCACAAAUCUCCUGCACUGCAGAGCUGGGGUCUGAACUCAACUCUGUCUUCCUCCAAAAUGUAUCCUUCCAAUAGACUGCAUCCAUGCCCCGUCUAAAACCAGGUUGAAAAUCUUUCUCCCUCAAGCCUACUCCUUUCUCUCUAUUUUCUAUUUCAGAGAGUGGAAUCACAAUUCACCUAGCCAUCCAUGGAGGAAAUUUGGGAAUUUUCCUUGAAACUGACUUUUUCUCAUCUCCCACUUCCCAUCAGUAGCUAAGCCUUCUUCAUUUACAUUCUUCAUAUUUGUAAAGUUUGCUCUCUCAUAUCCUCAGACACAUAACUUCUACUCUAGGAAGUUUAAGGUCUCACUGUCUCAAACUCGGAGGGCAAAGAUAAAUCAUUUCUCUUCGUCCAGGGAGAGAUUUCAUGAUUCUAUCUAUGUCAAAACUUCCAGAAUGAUCUUUCUAAAACGCACAUGUAGAUUUGGUCAUAUCCCUGUUUCCCACGUGGCCGUGGUUCCUCACACCUGUCCAAGCAGCCUCAGCUCCUGACAUUUUACUUUUAUAAUUUUUGCAACCUCCUGUGCCAUAUGCCAUUUCCACCUGCAUGCCUUUGAUGACGCCACUUUCCAUGCCUGACAAGAACACUCUUCCUUGUUCCCCUGGCAAAUACUGCCACAGACUCAAGACCCAGUUAAAUGCUGCAUCCUCUACGGACACUGGGUUAAUCUCCAAUUAGAACCACCCGCCCCUCCGCCAUGCUGUCCUGCACCGUGGAGGGGGCUGUGUCAUAGCUUGCUUGUUAAAUGUCCCCUCUCCUGAUGGACUGUACCUUCCUUGAAGUCAGGCAUGGGAAUUUUGUUUGUCUUUGAUUUCUGACAGCCAGUCCGAUGCUAGCAAUUAAUACAGGCACUUAGUAAGUGUUUAUUGAAAAAAUAAAUAAAUGAACGAGUGAAUAGUACA